rnacentral:rRNA from 1 species
AUUGAACGCUGGCGGCAGGCCUAACACAUGCAAGUCGAGCGGAGCGGCGGACGGGUGAGUAAUGCCUAGGAAUCUGCCUGGUAGUGGGGGAUAACGUCCGGAAACGGGCGCUAAUACCGCAUACUAUCAGAUGAGCCUAGAUCGGAUUAGCUAGUUGGUGGGGUAACGGCCUACCAAGGCGACGAUCCGUAACUGGUCUGAGAGGAUGAUCAGACACACUGGAACUGAGACACGGCCCAGACUCCUACGGGAGGCAGCAGUGGGGAAUAUUGGACAAUGGGCGAAACCCUGAUCCAGCCAUGCCGCGUGUGUGAAGAAGGUCUUCGGAUUGUAAAGCACUUUAAGUUGGGAGGCGUUACCUGCAGAAGAAGCACCGGCUAACUACGUGCCAGCAGCCGCGGUAAUUC